UUUCCGCCAGUCUAAAUAAACAUUCACAGUCGACACAAGCCAAAUUAACAAGUGAUUUUAUUAUCGGCUUGCCGGUACGUGUGCUUUUCCUUGGCAACAUUUUUGUGACAAGAGUUUUCCAAGUUGUGCAAGUAUGGUUGCUGUUUCGGAAAGUGUUGGACUUGAUACGAAAGUGAGGAUGUCUCUUCGAAGAUCUAACUCAUCCAAAGGAUUGUCAAACAAUUUGGAGCAAGAGUCUGUUGUGCCAUCGGUACACUUGUCUGAGGACGACAUGUGCCGCGUUCUCGAUCGCGACCAAAGAACAGUGUUUGCACCUUUCAGUGAGGUCUGCCGGCGUCCCGGCGUGCGCGUCACAUGCGACGGAAAGACGUCGUCUCCGUCCCGACACGUGAAUCAGCAUCCGGCUGAAUCCGCGGUCACAUCUCAUUCCUUAUCACCAUCUGUCGCGUCAAACUCGUCAUUCACACAACAAUCCACAACGACAGACCGGAAAAAUGUCAGUGCCGUUUCCAAAGUUACGCCAAAUUCAUGUCGAACCACAUCUCACCAACAGUACCCAGCAGCAUCCAGUUUCCAUCAACGUUCAAGUUCCUUUGCUUCAAAACUAGUCGAAGUGCUGACAUUGAGCGCCUGUGUACUGAGCCUAGUCAACCUGCCCAACACAACCACAGCCGCACCGAUGGGAUCCCGUUCGCCGCGACGUCUGGACGACGAACCGCCCUUCUGGACGAACCCCUGCCAGGUCGGACCCUACUACCCCGACCAGGUCGGCGACUCUGUCGAUGUGUCCUACUACUCGAUGCCGUCCGAGAUCAGCAACAAGGAGCUCAUCAACAUCAUCACCGUCUCAGCUCAGGUCGCCAUCAAUGACUACUCGACGUUCAUCGAUCCCUACGUGUCAGAGACAUUCCAGAAGCCUCUAGCUCAACUUCUCAAGGAGUUCGAUGCGAAUAAAGGUUACACUUGGUUACCUACAGUUCCAAAACAGCUCAACCAAACUCUACCAAAGGAGUUCAAGACAAAGUUGGAGUUGGAAACGGCCCUACUCGACUCGUACGAGUACCUGCAGCGUGUGGCUGUUGGCAUGGAGGCAGUGGCCAGGGACCACGAUUUCUUGGGCACUAAAUUCCAAGACCACUUCAAGCGUAGUCUCGAUGAAUUGAGAACGGUUCUUUGCGAAGUGAACUCGGUGAUCGGCAAUUUUAAAAUCAAGAUGCGACCAGACAUUGAGCGCUCAAUCAUGCCGGACGAUGUCCGCCACCUGCCCUCGGACACAGACCGUCACAUCCGGGACUGGCUCAUCUUCCGGGACUACAUGAACGUGAUGGAGUUCGUGCUCGAGGUGUUCACUCACCUCACCGAUCAGAUGUCAACCAGCUCCUGAGUGCUGCGAGUGCUCCGGUUGUCUCGCUGGUCGGCGCGCAACUGGUUCAGAAAAACGAAUCAACUCAAUCACAAUAAUUAUUGAUGCUGCUAAUCAAACGUUAACUGCUCGAUACCCAGUUUAAACUGUUUCAAAAACACAAAUCAACUUAUUCAAAAUUGAUGCUGCUAAUCGAACAUUGACUGCUCGAUCCCCAGUUCACUUUCACGAAUUAUUAUGAAAUCGAUUAUGUAAAAUUUAAAGAUGCAGAGCAUCUCAUAAUUUCUUUAUUUUAUUGAUUGUUCAUUGAAAAACGGCAGAAAAUUAUUGUUAAAUCGAUUAUGUAAUUUAAAGAUGCAGAGCAUCACAUUUCUUUGUCCUAUCAAUUAUUUAUUUGAACACUGCAGAAAAUCUGUAAGAAUGGUUUAUGCUUUCCCUAUUAUAAUAUAAAAAAUAGGCGAGGGUUUUUCAGCAGGAUUGUGAAACAGUACUUGUUCUUACAUUAACAAUAUGAAUACCCUUUAUAAAUUUAUAUUUAACUUUGAAUUUUUUACGUAUUUGACCAGAGAACAUUGAUAGGAACAUGGGAUUUCAAAGAAAUCAAUUAUUAUUGUUUUACUCUUCAUGUCUUACAACUCUUGAUGUAUUUGAAGAAAUGGUUUCUUCAGUACCCUAUGUAUUUGGGAUUGGUAUCCUUAGUACCUAUGUAUUUCAUGUCAGUUCAAAACUGUAAAUAUUGUAUUGUAUAGCUGUAGUCCUGAAAUAAUUUGAAAACAGUAGUAUAUGAAGUCAAAAUUAGCUAUAUUUUGUCUGUGAAUUCAUGGUUUUAAUUGUGUGCAUUAUUGAAUAUUCAUAAAUACUUAUAGAUCAAGUUUUAAGUCGAGCAAGUUUAUAGAAAUUUGAAAAUUAGAAUCAGUAUUGCUAACCAAUUGGAAAUGUCUCAAUGAGUGUUUAGAAUAAUUAGAUUCAAUAGAGGAUAGUGUGAUGUUGAUAUUCAUUUUUAUAGAUUAUUUGGAAAGAACAAUAUUUGAAAAUUUGUACAAAAAAUUAUUGAAUCUCGAGUAUGAAAAAUAAAUUGAUUUUCAGUUAUUCUAGGAUUCUAUGAGACUUCCACUAAUUUGUUAAUUAUUCUCCUGUUUGACACCUUUUCAAUUCCACAAAGCCAUCGUCUAGUUUUAUAUUUUUAUUUUAUUGUGAUUUUAUCAAGAGAAGCUUGUAUUUUACAUAAAUGGACAUAUUCCCUAAUGCUAUCAAAAUUUCAAGUGUGGUACUUAGAAAAGCAUAUAGAGUGGUUGAAUAGAGAACUUAGUAUAAGCUUAACAUAAAUUUAUUUAUUCAAUGUAUUUAUCUACUGUAGGAUUGUAUCGGAAAUUACCUAUUGACUAGUGCAAUAAUGCAAGUCGUACUAUUUAUUAUGUAAGUCAUUCUUGAAAUAUAUUGUUUCCUAUACUUUAAACAUAAAUUAUUGAAUUAGACUGAAAUGUUAAUCUUUAUUAUCAUCAUCAUCAUCUGAUAUAGGAAUAAGUUAAAUAUUGUUGCUAUUACAGUCCAAUCGUCAUAUUCAAAGUAUAAAUUAUAUUGUUGGCCAUAAUUACUUGUGAAUGUUUUUAUAAUGUAUUCAUCUAUAAAUACUCAUAAUCUCGUUCGAAAAUGUAUUAGAAUUUGAAAGUUUACUUGAACUAUUCUGACACGCUCACUGGAUAACUAUUAACUCUAUUCUCUUAAGAAAACUGUGGAAGUGAGAGGGAUGUAUAUUUCAUGAAAAAUAAGAUAGUGACCUAAUGUAAUGCUUCAUCUAAUGUAAAUAGCAUAUUUCUCCUAAUUUUGUCUUCAUUAAAUGGUGUUUAAUCAUCUCUUUCUUUAUAAUUAUUGUUAUUAUUUAUUUAUUAUAUUUAACUAUUCAUAUUGUUGUUAUUAUUUAUUGUGACUGUGAUAUUAUCGUAAGUGUAUGUGCACUAUUUAUUCAAACAUUAUCAAUAAAACGUAGAUUUCAAUCUUA
rnacentral:misc_RNA from 1 species